GAUGAACGCUGGCGGCGUGCCUAAUACAUGCAAGUCGAGCGAACAGACGAGGAGCUUGCUCCUCUGACGUUAGCGGCGGACGGGUGAGUAACACGUGGAUAACCUACCUAUAAGACUGGGAUAACUUCGGGAAACCGGAGCUAAUACCGGAUAAUAUAUUGAACCGCAUGGGUCAAUAGUGAAAGACGGUUUUGCUGUCACUUAUAGAUGGAUCCGCGCCGCAUUAGCUAGUUGGUAAGGUAACGGCUUACCAAGGCAACGAUGCGUAUCCGACCUGAGAGGGUGAUCGGCCACACUGGAACGUGGCCACCGUCCAGACUCCUACGGGAGGCAGCAGUAGGGAAUCUUCCGCAAUGGUCGAAAGCCUGACGGAGCAGCGCCGCGUGAGUGAUGAAGGUCUUCGGAUCGUAAAACUCUGUUAUUAGGGAAGAACAAAUGUGUAAGUAACUAUGCACGUCUUGACGGUACCUAGUCAGAAAGCCACGGCUAACUACGUG
rnacentral:rRNA from 1 species